ensembl:lncRNA
AAAAAUCCUUUCCUCAUUAUAAAAAUAUACUCAGACCCUUUUCCCUGCUCUCCCCCAUGCUCCAAGCAACACUUCAAAGCAAAAGGCAGUCCUAAGCAGUGACACUUGCUAUGGAAACACAUUCACAGAGUACAGCACAAGGCUGGGUCCCGGAGGAAACUUUUGUUGUUGACCUGACAGUUACAAGGAUUUGGAAACCACCAAAUGAGCAUGUGCAGUAGGGUAUUAUUGUCUCACGAACUCAUUAAACCUGCACCUGGAGCAUUUAUGUGCAGCAAAGAGCCACGUGCAGAACUGCUGUCUUCAGCAACAGCCCAAGGAAGCCAAAGGUCUGAAAAGGACAAAUCCCAUGAGUUGUGAGAGCUCCUGCAGAAUUCAAAUGGUAUGGUAGUGUUCUCCUCUGUAAACCACCCCACAGCACGUCUGUCCGUCUGAUUGGGAUAUCGCGGAAGUGCGUGGGCCAACUCCUUCUCACCAGCAGCGUACCCACAGGCUGCAGGGAUGUCCUCCUUCCACAGGAAUGGAACUUAAGCUCUGCACUCUACAUAACUCACCCUUCCUUCUCCAACAUCAAAGAAGCCAGAAGCUUCGCCAUCAGCACAGAACGGGUGGGUUUCCACAGCUUUCAGCAGGGAGCUGCUCCUGCUUUGCUCCAGGAGAGACAUCUGGAGAGGUUGCUCAUUCUGCUCCAGUGCCCAUCCCAGCUGGGCUGGCAGCUGCAUGCACACCAGGCAACGUCCAGGUUAGGCACUGCCUGAGAAACCUCCUCCAUCCCAGAGAUGAAAUGCGGUGGCACUUCAAGGGCUACAGAAAUACACAGAGUUGGAGUUGCUGCUUUAGAAGUCAUCUCACUGUGUGCUUCCUAGCGACAAAAAAUAAAAUUCUCGUGGGGACUAACAGAAAACAUGGCUAAUUUCUGUUAUAAAGAGUACACUCUAAUGCUUACAAAUCAAACACCUCAAAGUAUAGCAGCUCAGAGGUCUUAAAAGCACUAACAGAAACUAAUUUACUUUUAACGCUUUCCUCAGACUACUAUUUUAUUAAUGCACUAAUAGUUAUUUUCAUCUGCUUCUCCUCAAAAAUAAACUGACAACAGUUUUCAGCUAAUUUGAUGUAUUUUUUGGAUUAUUAUUUAGAACCCCCUUGAUAUAUUUGCCAAUGAAUUUACAAGAAUUGUUGCAUUGUAAGAAUAUCCAGACAAGCCAUAUGCAAUUG